CUCAAAGCCUGUUCAAUAACAUACAAGAAAGAACGUUUUGGGUAAAUGUGUCGUUCAGUACAAACCGUUCAGCAACUUAGCAAACAUUCAAGUGAACUGAACGCACCUUAGGUUUAGAGUCUUUUUGUGUGCAUGCACCUUUGAUAAAUGAGGCCCCUGGACUGGGAAAUGCUCAUCUAACUACAUUUUUUUUGUUGCAAUUAUUGGAAAUUCAGAAUAAGUGUGCUGUAUUUACAUAGAGAUCAUCAGAUGCAACAGAGCAUGCCCAGCUUUACAAGACAAAUUGACAGCACAGGCAAAACAGUGAGCAAUGACGCACUAUUUGACUUAUUUCUAGGUUCUACUUCUUCUUUCUGUCUUUGUUCUGUCUAGUCCAUCCACAGUAUCGCUCCAUCAGCAUGGUUUUACCCCUGUUUUGUAUGACCAACUUUUUAAUAAGAUUAUCAUUUUUUCAGAAGGGAGUUAUAGGUACUGGUAUAACAUUGAAAUCAUAUUCAUCCCGUUACAUUCAUUCAGUUGUAGUAUUUGCAUUUCACAUUGAAUCAUUUCCUGUACCUGUGAGAAACCACUCGAAAAAAGAAAAACAAUCAGAGAAAUGCAUACUGAGACAGAGAACAGCAUUAACAGUUUUGUAAUAUUCUGUAUGUAAGGGAAAUAAACAAAAAAGGCUUCCCCAACCCAUUCCCCCCAACCCCCUCAGUCCCCUUCAGGUGUGUUCUCUGAGAACCAUCAUGAGUCAACAGGUGAGAUAGAAGUCAAGGCUUAUCUCUGUCUGUCUUCAAGCUCAGCAGCAAUGUUAACAGACAUUCUUUGUUUACACUGCCCUGACGUGCACACACUUGUCAUUUUGAAACCUGAGAUUCUAAGUGGCAACAAGGGUUUUUCACAGUAUCCAAAACUUUGAGAAUCUGUGAUUUUAUUUGACCAAUUGUAAAUUGUGUAAACUCCUCACCUGGAUUAAAACAUAACGUAAGGACCUGUGAUAGGCACAAAUCUUUUAUGAGCACCUCUUUUAUCCUAGCCGCAAAUUUGAAUUAAGCUUCAAGUAUUCUGUAGAAAGACCUUAGCAGUCAUACGGACAGAGACUCAACAAGAGUAUAUCUUCCAAAAACCUUUUUACGACGGUGGAGGAGCACAAACAUGGCUGCAUAGUGGCUUCAAACCAGCCCCUGGGACGAAUCUAAGGUUUAUACUCAUCGUUGCCUCCAUCCCAUCUGUAAUAACCCUUGUGUGAAUGAGAGCAUAUUGGUGGUGUGAGGAGCCUGUAGCACUCACUUCACCAUAUAGGCCUGUUUGUUGAUUGUCCAACAUUCAUAUCUAGUUAUAUUUUGCCAUGUAGGCUAUAAGGGCCAAGUGGGCUACUGGGAUAGGUCAUCAUUUUUUAAGAUGCAUUUUAUUUACAGUAGGCUAACAAUGACCAGAUCUGAUCUGUGGUCAAGCCACACCACAAGCAUAACAUCUCUAGGCUAUAGGC
ensembl:lncRNA